rnacentral:lncRNA from 1 species
CACCUGCGCACCCUGCUUCACUGCCAUCACCCUAUAAUCUGUGCUCAGGAGAAUAACCAUGAAUGUAAUGUUUUACAGCAUCAAGUUAGUUCAUGUUAUAUCUCCACUACAGCCCUCCAAGGGCUUUGCACUGCCCUCUGGGUAAGAAGCAAAGGCCUUACCAUAGCAGAUGAGGACCUAAAUGACCUGCCCACUACCUCCCUGAGCCCUCAUCCACCCAGCUCCCACACACACUGUGCUGCUGCUGCACAGAUACCUCCAGUGCUCAGUCUGCCUGCUUCAGCCACAGGCCUUUGCCUCACGCUUCCCUACUGGGACACUGUCCACUUCCUCCCUUCAGUCUCUGCCUAUUUGCCACCUGGCAGCAAUCAUCCUACUCACAAUAGCAGCCCUCCCACCCCCAUGCUCCUUCUCCCUCUCCCGCCUCCUUGCUGCUAUUUCUUUUCCAGCACUUGGACACACUGCAUUUACUUGCUUGUCUGUUUACUAUUGGUCAUCCAGGGAGUUUAUCUGUUUUAUUCACUUCUAUGUCCUCAACACUUACACCCAGGCCUGGAUUACUUGCCAUUAGUAGGUGUAUUAGUCAACUUUCUGUUGCUGUGAAAAAUACUCAGCUUAUAAAGAGGAAAGGUUAGCUAGGCCUGGUGGUGCAUGCCAAUAAUCCCAGCAACUUGGGAGGUUGAGGCAGUUGCCAGCCUGGGCAGUUAGCAAGACCCUGUCUCAAAAUAAAGGGCUUUGGACACAGCUCAUUGGUAAAGCAUCUGCCUACCCUGCAUGAGGCCCU